rfam:Schistosoma curassoni strain Dakar, Senegal genome assembly, scaffold: SCTD_scaffold0003700
AUCCAGCUUAAGAGUCCCGAAUAGGACGAAACACACGUCCUGAAU